AGAACUUAAAUCUUGACCAAUAUACUAGUGGUAGCCCUUUUCAAGUUUAACACCUUCCACUCACAGCACUUCUUCUGAUUUUUUAGCGGAGGAUAUUCCAAAAUCGAGUAGACGAUCGGUCAAAUUUCAAAUCCAAUUCCAAAAUAGCUUCGACCGACGUUCCACCAAAGAUCCUACCAUCCUAUCUCCAACUUCGUCGAGCUUGUCCUUGUUGAUCUUUAUAAAAGUCAUAGCACAUACCUUGUUCCCAAACUUUCACUUUUGGAAGUUAAACCGUGUAGUUCGAACUUGGUGUGAGAACACGCGUUAAACACGACACCUUCGUCA
rnacentral:lncRNA from 1 species